rnacentral:rRNA from 1 species
ACAAAUGCUAGCCCAAGCAAUAAAAAAUGAAACUACAACACCAAAAUAAAACAAAACAUUUAAGAUUAAAAGUAUAGGAGAU